UGUUCUGUGGCUUAGCAGGUUAAAGCACUGGUCUAGCGAAUACGGAGACGUGGGUUCGUGUUCCACCAGAACGC
rnacentral:tRNA from 1 species